GUGUCAGCAGCCGCGGUAAUACGUAGGGCGCAAGCGUUGUCCGGAAUUAUUGGGCGUAAAGAGCUCGUAGGCGGCCUGUCGCGUCUGCUGUGAAAUCCCGGGGCUUAACCCCGGGCGUGCAGUGGAUACGGGCUGGCUGGAGGCAGGCAGGGGAGAAUGGAAUUCCCGGUGUAGCGGUGAAAUGCGCAGAUAUCGGGAGGAACACCGGUGGCGAAGGCGGUUCUCUGGGCCUGUUCUGACGCUGAGGAGCGAAAGCGUGGGGAGCGAACAGGAUUAGAUACCCCAGUAGUCC
rnacentral:rRNA from 1 species